AACGUAGGAGACUAACGUUAUCCGGAGUUACUGGGCGUAAAGGGCGUGUAGGCGGUUAGUUAAGUCUGGCGUGAAAGCUCUCGGCUAAACCGGGAGAGGUCGUUGGAUACUGGCUGACUAGAGGACGGUAGAGGCGUGUGGAAUUCCGGGUGUAGUGGUGAAAUGCGUAGAGAUCCGGAGGAACACCAGUGGCGAAGGCGACACGCUGGGCCGUACCUGACGCUAAAGCGCGACAGCAUGGGGAGCAAACGGG
rnacentral:rRNA from 1 species